rnacentral:tRNA from 1 species
UAAGACUUACAGACAACUAAUCUGCAUCUCUUGAAUGCAACUCAAAUGCUUUUAUUAAGCUAAAGCCUUA